rnacentral:rRNA from 1 species
GACGAAGGAUGCAAGCGUUAUCCGGGAUUCAUUGGGUUUAAAGGGAGCGUAGGUGGCCUUAUAAGUCAGUGGUGAAAUCUCUCAGCUUAACUGAGAAAUUGCCAUUGAUACUGUAGGGCUUGAGUACAGUUGCUGUGGGCGGAAUAUGACAUGUAGUGGUGAAAUACAUAGAGAUGUCAUAGAACACCGAUUGCGAAGGCAGCUCACAAAACUGUAACUGACACUGAGGCUCGAAGUGCGGGGAUCAAACAGG